AUUGAACGCUGGCGGCAGGCCUAACACAUGCAAGUCGAGCGGAUGACGGGAGCCUGCUCCUUGAUUCAGCGGCGGACGGGUGAGUAAUGCCUAGGAAUCUGCCUGGUAGUGGGGGACAACGUUUCGAAAGGAACGCUAAUACCGCAUACGUCCUACGGGAGAAAGCAGGGGCCCUUCGGGCCUUGCGCUAUCAGAUGAGCCUAGGUCGGAUUAGCUAGUUGGUGGGGUAAUGGCUCACCAAGGCGACGAUCCGUAACUGGUCUGAGAGGAUGAUCAGUCACACUGGAACUGAGACACGGUCCAGACUCCUACGGGAGGCAGCAGUGGGGAAUAUUGGACAAUGGGCGAAAGCCUGAUCCAGCCAUGCCGCGUGUGUGAAGAAGGUCUUCGGAUUGUAAAGCACUUUAAGUUGGGAGGAAGGGCAGUAAGUUAAUACCUUGCUGUUUUGACGUUACCGACAGAAUAAGCACCGGCUAACUCUGUGCCAGCAGCCGCAGUAAGAC
rnacentral:rRNA from 1 species